AAACGAAGAUUACGCUUUAGCAGCUUGAUGCUAACCUCUGUCUGCUUAUAUCCCGCGUGAGCGGAUAAGAGGUCGAUAGCGGGAUACCCAAAGGGCUGACUUCUGGAGGUCUCAGGGGAAUUUUUUCCAGAAUCGGAAGGAUGGCGGUUGUCUGUGUCUGCCUAGUUCUUAAAUCAAAACAUUGACUGCGCUCGGAGAAGUCUAUAUGACAACGCUUUCGGACAGGAGUUCGAUUCUCCUCAUCUCCACCA
rnacentral:tmRNA from 1 species